rnacentral:ncRNA from 1 species
AAUCUUCGGGGCAGGGUGAAAUUCCCGAUCGGCGGUAAAGUCCGCGAGCGUGAAAGCGCAGGAUCUGAGGCAUAGACUUGUUUUCAGAUCAGGAUUUGGUGAGAUUCCAAAACCGACAGUUAAAGUCUGGAUGAGAGAAGAU